rnacentral:misc_RNA from 1 species
CUCCAAAGUAUGCACAUAUGGUUCCCGCUGAGGAGCAAAAGUGCCCAACAUUCCUUUGCUUUGGUCAACUUGGAGUCCCCCCUUCCACACAAUAUUUGAGUAAUUUAGGCCAGAAACAAUAUUGUGUAGAACAUUAAAUGUUAGCUUAAGUUGGUAUCGAGAUCCUUCUUUGAGAGUAAAAUGGACUUGGCUGCUCCGAUUGCCAUCAACAGGUAGGGGAGUAUUUAUUUCCCCGAAGUCACUGGAUAUAAUUCCUAUAGAGUGAAACUUCACUUCAGGUUCCAUUUGGCACAAACCAUUU